rnacentral:rRNA from 1 species
GUGAUCAAUUCGUCUUCCCACAGCCACGUCCUAAAAUGAAAGAGGCAAACCAAGGAGCCUGCGACAGAGAGUCGCGGAGGACAGUCGUCAUGUACCCUGCGCCUGGCGCAGGCCAUUUGAUCCCCACGGUGGAGUUUGGCAGGCUGCUUGUGUCGCAUGGCCUCGCGGUCAUCGUCGUUCAGCGUGGCCUUCCGGCCGGCAACGCCACAGCUCCCGCGUCCUCCCUGUACGGCAACGGCGACGCUUCAGCCAGCCCCUUUCUCUCUUUCCACUACAUCCCGGAGCCGCCACUCCCGCACGGGGUGCCGGAGGGCGACCAUGUGGCCAAGGUUUUCGAGCUUACACGCGCUUCCAACCCUGAGCUCCGUGAUUUCCUCCGCGUCACCUCCCCGGCGGCCCUCCUCCUCGACUUCUUCUGCUACAGCGCCGCCGAUGUCGCGGCAGAGAUCGGCAUCCCGGCGUAUUUCUUCUUCCAGAGUUGCACGGCCAGCCUGGCUGUAUUGCUCCACCUGCCCGUCAUCCACGGGCAAAACGAUGUGAGCAUGCGUGACCUCGGCGGCGAGCUCGUGCACGUGCCUGGCGUCACUCCUAUACCGGCGCACGACCUCCCCGCUGCUUUCCUCGAUCGGAGCAGCCUGAGCUAUAAGCAUUUCCUCGCCUUGUCCGAACAGCUGUGCAAGUCGCACGGCGUUAUUGUGAACAGCUGCCGAUCCCUGGAGCCGCGCGCCACCGACGCCGUCGCCUCCGGCCUCUGCACGCCCCCGGGGCGCACGACACCGCCCUUAUUUUGUGUCGGCCCACUGGUACAAUCUGCGGAGGUAGCCGAGAAGCAAGGCGAAGAGUGCCUUGCGUGGCUAGACACGCAGCCGAAGGCCAGCGUGCUGUUCCUCUGCUUCGGCAGUAUGGGUCGGUUCAGCGCCGAGCAGAUCAAGGAGAUGGCGGCGGGUCUGGAGAUGAGUGGCCAACGGUUCCUCUGGGUCGUACGCAGCCCGCCGGGCGGCAACGAGCAGCCGGGCGAGCCGGAGCUGGACGUGCUGCUCCCGAAUGGCUUCCUGGACAGGACUAAGGACAGAGGGCUGGUGGUCACGUCGUGGGCGCCGCAGCGGGAAGUGCUGGCCCACGAAACAGUGGGCGGGUUCGUGACCCAUUGCGGGUGGAACUCGGUGCUGGAGGCGGUCAUGGCGGGUGUGCCGAUGCUGGGGUGGCCGCUGUACGCGGAGCAGCGGAUGAACAAGGUAUUUUUGGUGGAGGGGAUGCAGCUAGGCGUGGCGAUGGAACCAGGCCCAGAUGGCUUCGUGACGGCAAAGGAGAUCGAGGGGAAGGUCACUUGGCUGAUGAGUUCUGAUGGCGGGAGGGAGCUUCGGGAGCGUACUUUGGUGGCCAUGAGAGAGGCAAGGGAGGCCCUCAGCGCCGGUGGGGAUUCCACGGCGGCACUUCUGCAGCUCGUGCAAAGGUGACUUAACGCCCCAGAGCGGUGCUUCUUCCUACCCUCGUCAGUCAUUCAUCCCCUUCCAGUUCGUGGCUGUGUGGAGCGGCGUUUCGCCAUGGAUGGCCUCGAGUUCUUCUUUGAGGAAGCAGAAUCAGGAUUGGUACCCAGGGCUGAUGCGGGUGAUUCGUUGGGUGGAGGAAUCGAUGUUGUGGAGUCUGUGGUUGCUUCCAUCCAUGAAGGGCGCGGGCGCUCCUCUGAUGUGAUUUCUUCCGAGCCGAUGGAUGACAGCAAUGCCAAAGAGCAGUUGAGAGUGGUGGGGGCGAAUCUCGGGUCAUACAACAACGGUGGGAGUGAGAUCGUUGGCGACUCGAACGAUGUGAAGGCUCGGAACACUUCCUCUGCAUCAAUAGGAGAGGAGGGAGAUGCAGAAGGCGUCGUUGUCAACAAAACAAAGGCUUCCUGUUGGACUCGACGGGUAUGCAAAGUCAGGAUUGGCAACACACCAGAAGAGAGGGAUGCCAACCCAAGCAGAGUCCCUGCCCUCGAGGCUUCGAUGAGAGCUUAUGCAGAAAACAAGGGUGGCACAGUUGUUAACCCGUCGCUCGGAACUAGCUUUGACACGGUUGAAGAAGCGUAUGAGUUUUACAACCUAUAUUCCUGGGAGAUGGGGUUUGGCGUUCGGAAACAAAAUGAGGCUUACACUGUCGAUCGGGCACUUGUAGAAACGCUUGCCCUCGUUUUCGCCUUCUUUCCCACUGAUGUUGGUCUCCACCUGAACCUCGCCGCAGUCCGGGCACAUGAUGAGCGGCAAGUGCUGGUGCCUUUGACUGGAACGAACUGA